AUUGAACGCUGGCGGCAGGCCUAACACAUGCAAGUCGAGCGAGCGGCGGACGGGAGAGUAAUGUAUGGGGAUCUGCCCGGUAGAGGGGGAUAACUAACGGAAACGGUGGCUACUACCGCAUACUAUCGGAUAAACCAAUCUGGGCUUAGCUAGUAGGUGGGGUAAAGGCUAACCUAGGCGACGAUCUCUAGCGGGUCUGAGAGGAUGAUCAGCCACACUGGGACUGAGACACGGUCCAGACUCCUACGGGAGGCAGCAGUGGGGAAUAUUGGACAAUGGGCGCAAGCCUGAUCCAGCCAUGCCGCGUGUAUGAAGAAGGUCUUAGGGUUGUAAAGUACUUUCAGCGGGGAGGCGUUACCCACAGAAGAAGCACCGGCUAACUCCGUGCCAGCAGCCGCGGUAAUUC
rnacentral:rRNA from 1 species